ACGAACGCUGGCGGCGUGCCUAACACAUGCAAGUCAACUUGACUGAAGGAGCAAUCUGACAGUAGAGUGGCGCAAGGGUGCGUAACGCGUAAGUAACUUGCCCAAGGUAAGGAAUAACGUCGAGAAAUCGGCGUUAAUACCUCAUAAUGCAGCGGAUCCGCAUGGAUAUGUUGUUAAAGGUUUACCGCCUUGGGAUAGGCUUGCGUCUGAUUAGCUAGUUGGUGUGGUAACGGCACACCAAGGCUACGAUCAGUAACUGGUCUGAGAGGAUGAUCAGUCACACUGGAACUGAGACACGGUCCAGACUCCUACGGGAGGCAGCAGUGAGGAAUAUUGGGCAAUGCUCGAAAGAGUGACCCAGCAACGCCGCGUGGAGGAUGAAGGUAUUCUAUAUCGUAAACUCCUGUGAGAGCAGACGAAAGACAGAUUAUUAAUCUGGAUGACUGUAUGCUCAGAGGAAGCCCCGGCUAACUACGUG
rnacentral:rRNA from 1 species